GUGAGGAAUAUUGGUCAAUGGGCGAGAGCCUGAACCAGCCAAGUCGCGUGAAGGAAGAAGGAUCUAUGGUUCGUAAACUUCUUUUGCAGGGGAAUAAAGUGCAGGACGUGUUCUGUUUUGUAUGUACCCUGAGAAUAAGGAUCGGCUAACUCCGUGCCAGCAGCCGCGGUAAUACGGAGGAUCCGAGCGUUAUCCGGAUUUAUUGGGUUUAAAGGGUGCGUAGGUGGUUUGAUAAGUCAGCGGUGAAAGUUUGCAGCUUAACUGUAAAAAUGCCGUUGAAACUGUCGGACUUGAGUGUAAAUGAGGUAGGCGGAAUGCGUGGUGUAGCGGUGAAAUGCAUAGAUAUCACGCAGAACUCCGAUUGCGAAGGCAGCUUACUAAGCUACAACUGACACUGAAGCACGAAAGCGUGGGGAUCAAACAGGAUUAGAAACCCGAGUAGUCC
rnacentral:rRNA from 1 species